rnacentral:rRNA from 1 species
GAUGAACGCUAGCGGGAGGCCUAACACAUGCAAGCCGAGCGGUAGAGUUUCUUCGGAAACUUGAGAGCGGCGCACGGGUGCGUAACACGUGUGCAACCUACCUUUAUCUGGGGGAUAGCCUUUCGAAAGGAAGAUUAAUACCCCAUAAUAUAAUGAUUGGCAUCAAUUAUUAUUGAAAACUCCGGUGGAUAGAGAUGGGCACGCGCAAGAUUAGAUAGUUGGUGAGGUAACGGCUCACCAAGUCAAUGAUCUUUAGGGGUCCUGAGAGGGAGAUCCCCCACACUGGUACUGAGACACGGACCAGGCUCCUACGGGAGGCAGCAGUGAGGAAUAUUGGACAAUGGGUGAGAGCCUGAUCCAGCCACCCCGCGUGAAGGAUGACGGUCCUAUGGAUUGUAAACUUCUUUUGUACAGGGAUAAACCUACCCUCGUGAGGGUAGCUGAAGGUACUGUACGAAUAAGCACCGGCUAACUCCGUG